ensembl:snRNA U2 U2 spliceosomal RNA
AUCACUUCUUGGCCUUGUGGCUAAAAUCAAGUGUAGUAUCUUUUCUUAUCAGUUUAAUAUCUGGUAUGUCUUCUAUCUGAGGACAAUAUUUUAAAUGGAUUUUUGGAGCACAGAGUUGGAAUAAGAGCUUGCUCCAUCCAUUCCACACAUUGACCUGGUAUUGCAGUAUUUUUAGGAUAUUUCUCCCUCU